UGAGGAAUGGCGAUUGCGCGGCGCGGACAGGGAGAGUGAGCGGGAGGGAGGAGGGUUUGAGGCGAGAUCCACCUCCGACAUGAAAUAAUGGGGACGAUAAUAAAACAGGGGGAAAACCCGUUGGAGAGAAGCUGAAUGGAUGGAGCCGAAGAGACGUCACUGGCAGCCGCAGCCAUGAAGACCGUGCGGUCCAGCCUCCGGCGAAUCACUUCGCCUCCAUCCUCCGAGACGCUCGCUGCUCGGGUUGGAAGAGGAGCGGAUCCCGCAACGACUCGCUAUCAGCGGCGAGCUUUAGUUGGAGGUGGCGUUUUGUGGGGAGGAGCCUGCAACAACAGAGAUCUGGGCACACAGAGCAGCUUUAAUUAGAUGGGGCCUUGUGCCAUGUGCCAUCACGGCAUGUGUGAAAAUGACUGUGUGCCUGUGUGUUUCGCAGCUUUGUCUAAAUGUCAGAAAUUGGCCCAUGUUUAUUGGCCUGGGGUUUGAGAGGAUGGGUAGCCUUAGGGGUUGAUUGUUAUCUUUGGUUAUCUAGCUGUAUGAGUGAUGUACAUUCUUCAUAAAGCUAGAUAACCGAAAGUAACAAGAAUCCCAUUACACUCCUGGAAAGGCAUCAAGACCCAAAGUGACUCCAUUCAGCAAAAAUAAAAAAAUAAAAAAGAAGAACCUUAACCUGAGAAAAAAUGGACACUUUUCUUUUAAAGAAGAUUGGAUCCUUCAUCAAAUAAAGACUACCUUACCACAUGGAGAAAAGAUGGCAAAAGAAAACUGAAAACAGAAGAGGAGGGGGGGUUGCUGUUGAUUGUGCCCUCCCUAUCUCAUCGCCCUCUUCUGCAUCGCCUAUUCCCACCUCCUCCUCUUCUCUUUCUCCUCCACUCUAUCCUCAGCAGACUGCCCCUUUUUCAUGUACAGCGAAAUGCAGCCCACGCCACCAUCUUAGAGCAACGCUGGCAUAAAAUGGAAGUGGGAAGACCAGUCACUGCAGAUAAACGUUGGUGGUCAGGGCGCGCCAGAAUGGACAGAACACAGAAUUGGGAGACGGCUGGACUUCUCUUUCACAGCUUUGCUGCCAUUCAGCUGCUGUAAACAAGCAUGCUGCAACUUGAUGGGGAUUGUUUCUAUGUUUGUGGAACAUCGUUACUCACUUGGACUUUUGUGAAGACCUUUUGGUGUUUUAGCUGCAAAGAUAUCAUUGUGAACUGUGGAUGUGGAAGCCUUUAGAUCGAUUUUUUAUAAUUGUACUGUAUUCCUGUAAAUAAUAUUACAAAGACAAUAAGCAGUAUAUUUCUUUGACUAACAUAUAGGCUCUCCCUAAUUUAGGUUGUUUUUAAUUUGAGUUUUAGCCCUCGUUUAUGUUCAGGGUUAUGUUUUGUUUUAGUUGCUAGGACUCAAAAGACACGUGAAUGUGAGACCCACGACAGCAGUGAAUAAUACUGCACUGCGAUUGGACAGCUCCGUGUGUCGGCUGACACAAUGGCGAAGGAGAGAGCUGUUGUCUUUAAUCUCUAUGCAACUGUUAUGUCUGUUUUGAUUUUGCUUUGGGCAGAGCCUCUUUUAUCUGCAUUUUGGAUUUUUCUUUGUGGGCUAAAAACUUACAGACAUUCCUUUAUACAUCAUCAACACAAAUGUUGCUUGAUACAAAGUCUACGUUCCUAUUUUUAAUAUAUAAAAACUGGAAUUAGAGAAAGGGAAUCUGUGUGUGUGUGUGUGUGUGUGUGUGUGUGUGUGUGUGUGUGUGCGUGUGUGUGUGUGUGUGUGUGUUAAUGGGUUGCUAAUUCUAAAAAAAUGUAUCUGAAUGUGAAUAAAUAUGGCCUCAAAUAUAAAAUAUUCCUGAUGGCAGUAGUGUGUUUGAUCAGCGGGAAGUGAAACAUUGCUGCUGCAUGUAUGCUUCCUCUGAGACACAUUAGUUUCCCUCAUAACAGUUACGUGCUCUGCUGUAACGAUACAUCUUUGGGUAAGACAUGACAAAUUCGUUAGCUUCAAACACUGCCUUAAUUUCCUGUUCACACACAAAUGCACACACACACACACAUACACACAGAUCCCAGUGCAAUAAGACAAGUACCAUCACAGCUUAAUUCAUUUUAUAUUAAUAUUUGGGAAGUGGAUUUUUUUAUUAUUAUUAUGAUUGAUAAUCUAUGCAAAUCUUUUAAAGUAUUACUUUAAACAAUCUAUGCACUGCUCUUCUGCUCUUGCAUUUGAUUCAAGUGAGACUAUCUUGGCCUAAUUUAGAAAAUGUAUUCUUUUGAUAAUCAUGCACAUCCCAGUGCUCGAGACAAUUACUUAUCUGCCUGGAUAAGCUUGAAAUUAUGUUUUUAAUCUUUAGCAAAAAAGUCUUCUGAUAUAAUCUGAGAAGCAUGAAAACCAUAAUUUCUGGUGUGAAAUAAUUAAAUAAGUGUCACAAAAUAUCCUAGUUUUUUUUCUUUAAAUGCAGAUUAAAUUUAUCUGUUUAGCUUUGUCUAUUGUUUUAUAUAAGGAGCAAAGUUUGUAUUAUGCAACCUGUGAAUGAGUGCUCACCACAUGUGCCUUUGUAUGCAAAGCUAUAUUAGAAUAGUAAUAAAGGUUUACAUUGAAAACAAUGCAAAAACUGCAUUGGGGUUGUUUGUGUCUAUUUCUCUGACAGACAAAUAUGCAGACCGUAUAGAGAAAAAUAAAAAGGUUGUGUGUUUUAGCA